rnacentral:rRNA from 1 species
ACAAAAAGCAGCCUAAUUGAAGCGUUCCGCUUACACCGGAAAGAAGUCUGUAGAACCCGGACCAUUUUGAGCCUAAAAUCAAGCCUUCUCUUAACUAAUGUUCUCCAUACACCCCUGUUUCACAAUAAAACAUUUUUUUAUUUUAGUAGAGGUGAUCAAAAAGAUAAAUAGCGCUUUACUAGUAGUACCGCAAGGGAAAGAUGAAAUAGCUUUGAAACAGAAUUAAAGCACAGAAUAGCAGAGACUCGCCCUCGUACCUUUUGCAUCAUGGUUUAACUAGUCAUAAUCAAGCAAAACGCAGCAUCAGUUUGACCCCCCGAAACUGAGCGAGCUACUUCGAAACAGCUUUUUGAGCUAACCCGUCUCUGUUGCAAAAGAGUGGGGAGAUUUCCAAGUAGUAGUGAAAAGCCUACCGAGCUCAGAGAUAGCUGGUUAUUCAGGAAAAGAAUUUUAGUUCAUCCUUAAGUUUUUUAAUUAUACUAAAAACCCCCUUAAACUUAAGAACUAUUCAAAUAAGGAACAGCUUAUUUGAAAAAGGACACAACCUAGGACUCAGGGUAAGUCAGUCAUUUUUCCUCUAAGUGGGCCUGAAAGCAGCCACCUUUUAAAAAGCGUUCAAGCUUAACUACGAUUCAAUUAUUUAAUUCUUUAACCACUUACGAACCCUCCACCAAUACUGAAUAAUCUUAUAACUCUAUAAGAAAUAUUAUGUUAAAACGAGUAACAUGAAUAAGCCUUUCUCCUAAAUGUAAACAAACACCAGAUCGGACUUUCCACUGGUUUUUAACGUCUCUGAAUUAAAUUUAGCAACCUAUGCAAGAAAACCCUAUAAAUCUCUACGUUAACCUUACACAAGAACAUUCCAGGAAAGAUUAAAAGAAAAAGAAGGAACUCGGCAAAUUUAGGCCCCGCCUGUUUACCAAAAACAUCGCCUCUUGAGAUCUCAUAAGAGGUCCAGCCUGCCCAGUGACAUAGUUUAACGGCCGCGGUACUCUGACCGUGCGAAGGUAGCAUAAUCACUUGUUCUUUAAAUGGGGACUAGUAUCAACGGCAUCACGAGGGCUUUACUGUCUCCUUUUUCCAAUCAGUGAAACUGAUCUCCCCGUGAAGAAGCGGGAAUUAUAUUAUAAGACGAGAAGACCCCAUGGAGCUUUAAACCCAAUAACACCCCUGACUUAUCCUCUCCCUAAAGUCUUUUGGCCCUGUCUAUUGGUUUUAGGUUGGGGCGAUCGCGGAGUAAAACUUAACCUCCACAACGCAUGGAACUAACACCAUAUCCAAGAGCCACCUCUCUAAGAAUCAACAAAUUGACGUAAAAUGAUCCAAUUAUUUUGAUCAAUGAACCAAGUUACCCUGGGGAUAACAGCGCAAUCCAUUUUAAGAGCUCCUAUCGACAAGUGGGUUUACGACCUCGAUGUUGGAUCAGGAUAUCCCAGUGGUGCAGCCGCUACUAAC